CAGUGAUGAGUGACUCAAAGCGGUGGUGAGAACUUGCACUGAUGCAGCAUUUGAACAAAAGAGCAAUACAUCUGUAGAAAAGUGACAACACAAAGGGAAAGGGUUGUAGGCUUCCAAAGGCAGCAACCUGUGGGAAGGCAAAUAUAUGGGGGAGGCUAGUGGAAGACAGUGCUGGUUAGUCGAGUUUGUGAUGUAGGUUCCUCUGGGGCCACCUCUGGGCUGAUAAGCAUCUAGCGUUGUCUCUGGUGAUUAACUUCUGACCUUCCUGCUAGACAAGGGAGGGGAACAUCUUUACACAUUUGUGCCCUGCUUCAGAGCAAAUAGAGGAAGGGCAGAGAGCUUUUCUUGUAUUUUCUUUUCCAUUGCCUUCAGCUCAAAACAGUCCUUAUGCCCAAGUGGCGUAUUUUGGGCUGGCGCGUUCUGCUGCCCUUCAGCACACAUCAGGUGUGCAGGGAAGACAAAGAUCAGUCCGCUGAGCGUAGCUGAGGUGAAGGUGAUGGCAAUGGGCUCGCUGCAGAUGGACAAGCAGUUUAGGCCGCUCUUCUGGUGUUAAAUGAGGAAAUUGUGGUUCCCCCAGAAGACGAGAGACUUGUCAAAGGUCACUCUACAAAUGACAGAGUUGGCAUUUAAGUCUCAGUCUGGGGAAUGCUGCCUCAAGUGUUUUUCUGGCUUUGUGUUGACAAUGCUGGACUUGCACAGGGGGCAGGGACUGGGGAAGCUGCUGUGUUGUUCCCACCUUUCCUUGUCGGCACCUCCAAGUUUCUUUGUGUCCCAGCCAUUUUCUCCCAUUUGCCUGAUUUUAUCAUGGAUGAUUCAUCCAUGGCUUUCACCACUGACCUCUCCCAGGGCCUGCCGAUAAUUUCAGGGACUCUUGGGAAUGCUCCUGUUUUAUUUGUGACCCCUGCCAGGAGCUAGUUUCUUCAGAGUCUUGGCCUGGCCCGGGAGCCCGGGGGUGGCACGCCUUGCAGGAGGGGGCAGCCAGGGACAGGGAGCAGCAGGAUUGCUAGCGGUGUGUUUCUGGCCGUGCAUCUCCAGACUUCUGCAUUUCUGUGGCAGCAGCCCAGCCCGAGGCUCAGGGUGAGGAGGCAUGCCUGGGCAUGUCUGGUGGGGCAGGCUGGUGAGGACGCCACUUGCAUGAAGACAGCAGGAUCCCUGGAGCCGAGACUGGACUCGGAGGCGUGGUUCACUACAAUAUGUGGGCACCUAGAUACAUCAUAGCGAAAAUGCAAGUUCCUAUAGCUCCAUAUCUAGAGUUCUUGGUGAAGUCUAACUUUAAUACUGGAAAACUUCAGGCGCUCUGGCCCUCUAGAUGCCCAGCCACCCCAGCCUUGUCAUCUGGAGUGACCAGACCCUCUCUGGGAGGUGUGUGGCUGGUGGUUACGAACUCAGCCUCAAACCAAACCAUGUGGGUUUAUUUCCUGCCUUGACCAGCUCUGAGUCCACAUCCCUGAGCCCAGACCCUGUGCUAAACUUGCCUUGACUCCGCCCCUUGCACUUCUGGGGACUCAAAUUUUGUUCCUGAGCUCUAUUUCCUUGCUGAAUCCCCUCUCUCAGAAAGCCUGCCUGAACCCCUUAUUUCUUGUUUAGAAAAUUUGUCUCCUAACCUAGGAGUUGGCAAACCAUGGCCUGUGAGCCAUAUCUGGCCCACCGCCUGUUCUUGUAAAUAAAGUUUUAUUGCGACACAGCCAUUCUCAUGCAUUUACACAUGGUCUGUGGCUGCUUUCCUGGCACAACAGCAGCUGAGUAGUUGUGACAGAGGAAAUAUGGCCCUCCAGUCUAAAACAUUCACUAUCUGGCCCUUGACUGAAAAAGUUUAGUGUUCCUUGUCUGUGUGGGUUGAAUUAUGUCCUCUGAAAAAGAUGUGUUGAAUCUCCAGUACCUCAGCAUGUGGCCUUGUUUGGAAAUAGCAUUGUUAUAGAAGUAAUCACAUUAAAAUGAGGUCAUGAGGGUGAGCCCAAAUCCGAUAUGACUACUGUCCUUAUAAAAAUGGGAAAUUUGGACACAGAGUGUAUUAGCUAUGUUUUCUUAUUUUCUGCAUUUUUGAUGCUCUGGCAUCUGGGGCUUUGGUGACUGGAGUGGGACUGCCCCUCCCAGGGCUAGCCAGUCCCUAGAGAUAGCAAAUGACUUGCACAGAACCACACCCUUCAUGCAUCCUCACCCAUCUGGAGCCCAUUCUCCAAACCACCUCCUCUGUCUGGCUCUUACGCUCCAGGAGGCAAUGGCAAUAUUCCUAAUCACCCAAGGGCAGCAUGGGACCACUAGGAGCACCCCCACAGCCCAGAGCCUGCUGACAUUAUUCAACCCAUCCAAUCCGAAACCUGCUCAGCUUGCGCACCUUGUUUUCCUCCUUCCUUCCCAUGAAAACCACAAUAAGGACUCCUGCCCACACUUUCUCCUCGCUCCUUCUGCCUCCUCACCAGCGCUGCUGCUUCCCUCUGUGGCCCUGCGUGGCAUGCUGUGCCCCCUCCUCGUGGGAACUAUGAGUAACAAACUAUCUUUUCAAAGACAAUCGUCUCCUGAUCUGUUGGGCUCACCAUACCUGAAUAAAACCAAAAUCACAGACACAUUUCAAAACACAGAGACAGAGACACUCAGAGGGAAAGUAACAUAAAGACACAGAGAAAGCGCCAUGUGAAGACGGAAGAGUGAAGUGAUGUAUCUGUAAGCCAAAGAACACUCAAGGCUACCAGAAGCUGGAAGAAAAGCGUGGAACAGUUCCUUCCCUAGCACCUUCAGAGGGAGCACGGCCCUGCCAACACCUUGAUUUUGGACUUCUGGCCUCUGGAAUGUGAGACAAUAAAUUUCUGUUGUUUGAAGCCACUAAGUUUGUAGUAUUUUGUUAUGGCAGCCUAGGAGGCCAAUACACCACCUAACCAAUUAUUUUGUUUUGUUUUCUUUAUUUCUCGUUGUUCUCCUAUUGACACUUUUGUAUGGUGUCUUACUGUCAUUUCAUGGUGACCCUCACACACAUUAUUGCAUUUGGGUCUUGUGAGGUAGGUAGGCCAAUGGGCAGCCCGUUUAACCCAAGACCGAGGCUCAGAGAUUUCGGGGCACUUGCACAAGUUCACCCCACAAGGCAGUAAAUGGGGAAAAAAACUAGUUUCUACUGAGGGCUCGUUAUGUGCUUUCCUCACAUUGUCUCAGGACACCUAUACAACCGACCUGAGGGUUAGUUGCUGAGCAAUUAUACUAAUAAUCAGACAACCAUCAAUGUGAAAAGGAUGCUUUCUUCUCUCCUCACUUCCCCCUGUCUCUACUUGGCAUCUCAAGGCAGAGUGUGAAGGAGGUCAGACAUCCACAGCACUGUACCGUCCCGAGUGGAACCAGCCUUCACUGACUGGACCACCUAGGGAAGUGGUUUCCUCAGAGGGCAAUACCGAACCUUCCAGUGUGUAGUAAAACAGGACAAGAGAACUCCAGAGACCCCUUCUGCUGCCCCCAUGGGCUGUGUGGGGGUCCGAGGAGGGGAGAGUGGGGAGAGGUCUGAGGCUAUUCCAGCGUGUAACGCUGGCGUGAAAGCUGGAGCUGGUUCUGGUCAAGGCUUGGUCUGGACGCCGUGCAUGCCCCCGACCUCUGACGCCAGGUGCCCCUUGAAUCUCCUGAGGUCCCUGCAGCUGUGUUCUCUGUUUCUUCCUUGUCCAGUUGUUACAGCUUCUUCCACAUCAAGGAUAUUUUUUAAAGUUAUGCCAGGAUUUUGGGGACCACAAAUGGGUGUGGCAUCCCAAUAGGGACAUUAUCUCCAUUUUACAGGUGAGGACAUUGAGCGUCAUGGGGUCAGGUCUCACAGACAGUCAGGGAUGAUGCUGGCACCGGGAGCGGGCCCUCUGGCUCUGCAGCUCUUGUCCUCACACAGGCUGAGGCAGGGCAGGGUCCGUGCCCUCGGCCUCUUUUACCGUUGAACACGGUUCAGAAUGCGAUUCAGAAUGUGAUUCUGUGUGCACGUUUGUGUGUGUGUGAGAGA